GCCGGCGUAGCUCAGUCGGUAGAGCAGCUGAUUCGUAAUCAGCAGGUAGUCGGUUCGAAUCCGACCGCCGGCUCCA
rnacentral:tRNA from 1 species